UUCAUUUCCACUUAACUGUAAUGUGUUUGCCAGUGAUUGUAGGUACCUGGGAGGUGUUUAUCAUCCUGAUUCCUCUACCAGGUUUUCAGAUCUCUGUGUGAUUUACCAAUACAUUUUUCAUAGUGACACUGACUUCAGCUACAUCUGUGUUACUUUCCAGGUUUAUCUGAGUAAUCAGCGAAUUGUGUACAAUAUUUUAGGGCAUUGUUGCAUAUCUGUGUGAAAUUGAAUAGUUACUGUGGGGAAGGUGCCCGGCUGUGCCUGUUGUAUGCAAUAAAAGAAGGACUGGUGGGUGAUGUGAUGAUUGGAGACAUUUUGGGCACAGUAAUCACAGAGCACUGGCAUUUUCAGUUCUCAGAGAAGUCAACAGAACUGCUCUUCUGGACUUCUGCAGGUCAGACUUUGGCCUAUCCAGGAGACUGAGUGAAUCUCUUGGGAGGCAGUCCUAGAAGGCAAAGGAGUCCAGGAAAGAUGGACAUUCUUCAAGAAGAAAAUGCUAGUGGCAGAGGAGGAAGUGAUUUCCAUGGACUGAAAGAUGAGCUGAUGAGGAAGACCUGUCUGGCUACACAGGGAGCUUUGGCCUAUGACCUUUGGAAGAAGGAGCAGGCAACUUAGGAGGACUACAAGAAUUCCACAAGACAGGACUCCUGAUAGACCAAGCAUAGAGGAUUUGUGAGGAUCAAGUGCAAAAGGAAAUCAACUACACAGCUUCUUAUCCAAGUUUCUUCACUUUGAUUCACUAAUCCCUUCAGGUAACAUAAUUUCUGUAUUAUCUUUGUAGCUAUAAUGAAGUUAAGGAAGUGUACCUGCUCUGUUAAAACUUUAGUACACACCUUUAUGCACCUAAAGCCAAUGCGCCCAAGUCACUCAGCCAUUUGGAGUGUAUCCAUCCCAAGUCUUAUUUAUGUUUCUUGAUUUGUUUAAUAUCUGCCUUUAUUUAGGCAGUCUUCAGGCAGUGGCCUUGCUGAGGAAGAUUUCCUUUCCAUGUAGAGAAAAGAGGGAGCUGGGGCAGUUACCAUGCACAUCUGCAAGCAUACUAAUUCAUCCAUAGCACUGAUAAAAGGGGCUUCAAAGCACCAAAGUGCAAGUGGCCACUACUUAAUGAUCCAUGCAGAAAUGGUGGAGCUGGUGGCAGUGACUUUCCUGAUGCAUUGAGGGAAAUAAAUGUGCAAAGGUACCACAGAGGGCAGUGGCGAUGCCCCAAAGUAUUUGUCAUCUACAUGGAACCUCAUCCCAGCAAAACAGUACAUUUUUAAACAAAGUAAUUCCACUCAUGCUUUGGUCUCUCAGCUGAGGAUAACAAUGUAUCUACUUUUUCUCCUCCUUCUAGAAGAUGACUUGAAAUAUAUUUAUCCAACACACAGAGCAUGGCAGAUACAAGCAAGUGAUCUUUGGGAACAAUACUUUGUCAAUCUGCCCUUGAAUCUACCCUAAGUUCCUAUUUUCUUUGACUUUGGAUUGCCUAUCGUGGCCUGGCCUCUGCAGGUGUUGGUAGGUCUGGUUGUAGAAAUGAGGCUGGGCAUCAAAUACACGUGUAGCUGUAUUUCUUUCGUAAGUAUGCUUAUGUAUGAGAUAAGCUCAUAGGAAUCCUCUACACAUAUGCAUGGAAAAUCUGGAUUUGGAAUGUAACAGCUGCUGAGCAGCAUGAGGAGGUCAGGAAAGCAUCAUUUUAAACUAAUGGUGGAUUUAAGUAUUACAGUGUAUUUUCUUCAGGAUUAUGAUUUUAGUAAUAUUUAUUUGUAACCAGGAAUUCCCUUUUUGUUUCAUGUAAAUGUUCAAUCUUUUAAGCUUUUCUAUGUGGUUAAACGUUAAUAUAUUCUUAUGGCAGCAACUUCCAUAUGUACUGCGGCACUUUGUUCUACCUCUUUUGAUUUGGGGAAAGCAGCUCUCAGUCUGCCCAGAUGUUCUGAGUGUUUUUUUCAUAGAUGGUACUAAUGAAGCUACAGUAUUUUUUCCUCUUUAUCUCUCCUGGAGGUUUUUCAUGAUUCAAAUUGCAUUUUGUCACCCUUUGCACUUCCCACUCUUGUAUUUGCACUUUCUAGAGAGGGAUGAUUGGUAUACAAAUUGAAUUUAUCUCUAGGUGGUAGGAGUGCUGGAAAUAAUAGAACAACUCCUCUGUUUGUACAAAUUCUAAUACUCCACUUUAGUUAUGACGUCUUAAGAUAUCCAGAUCCCCUUCCUAAUCUAGCAGUACAGUAUAUUUAGAGCUCUGUAGGAUACAGGAUUCAAAUCUUCUCUCUAAAUUGCAUUACUAUAAAAUCUGACAUGAAAUUCAUCUGCUGUUGUGAUACUUCCUUGUGUUUAGGUGUGCAUGGCCCUGCAUAGACACCCAAGGUAGCUUUUAGGAAGUGCUGCUGCUGGUAGCAAAAUCCAGUUGUCAUGGAUUAAGGUACUGCAUGUGUUCAAUUCUGCCUAAGAGCCAAACAAGCCCAGGAUACACUGGUUUUACUGGUAGAGCCACUUUAAACUCUUCUCUAACCUGUGAUUAAUUUUGCUGUCUGUCUGUCCCUAAACAGCCAUUUGAGACUCUACUAUACACAACAUCACUGAAAGAUUGAGAGGUGUAGAACUGGGGACACCACAAAGUUGCUUUGUUGGUAAAACCAGGGUAUUUUGUAAUAGCAUUUACUUUAUUUUGAAGAAGUCUGGGCAUUGGAGAGAAAACGCCUUCCUCACCUUCAGCUAAAAGGAGUGUCUGUCGCCUAAUUGAUUGUCACAUACAUAUUACAUUGUUUCUUCCCUGGUUGAAUAGAUAUAUUUCCAAGAUUUUCCACCUAAACUUUAAACCAUAAUAAUAAGUAUUUGACCAGAACAAAAAUAUUGCCAUAUAAUUAAUUUUUCUUUUGCUGUCAUUGAUGCAUUUCUACUUGCUGGUAUGCAUUUUUUGUUUUAAACCAUUAAACAUCAGCAUCCAUCCAGACAGUGCCUGUGCAGAGUGGGAAGAUGUAUUGAUUUAGCUGUACUUGAAAAUAACUCUGUUAAAUCUGUUACAGAAAACAGAGUGGUUUUCCAAUGGUGACUAUGUGGAGCUACUCCUGGAGAAACCAUCACAACUCCAACCCUAUAUAGGACAGAUCUCUAAGGGGCUUCAAUUUAAAACCAAUUUUGCAGUUCUCCUUGCGUCUGGAGGACAUAAGAAAACACUUACUGUGAUUCUGAAGUAUGAUUUUUUUUUUUUUUUUAUUUUUUAGAAAAGUUCAAAUUUAAAAUUUUGGCUAAAUAGCACUGAAACAAAAUGUAUUUCCAGCUCUUAUGUUUUGUUCAGUUGUAGUAUUUGCAUGGCACAAAUUAUAUGAGUAUUGCUACUGACCACUUCAAGGUACAAAUGAAUUCUGGCUUUAGAAAUGUGUCAGAGUUAAGAAGAGUCCCUGCAGUGAUAUCCAUAAGUGAUGACAAGUAUUUCUCACUUAGAAAUACUUAUCAGUCUAGACCAUCAAUACUUUCAUAUUUUCAAUUAAACUUCACAAGCUUCUGUCAUGUUGCACACAUAAAGAACAUGGUCUGAAACAAAAAUGAGAAAAAGGAGAUUAAAAGUGACCAAUGAUCCUAAGGAGAACUCAUUACUGGAACUGAAAAAAUAGUUUUAGGAAAACUCUCCUUUAAAUACUUUACCAGGGAAACAUUUUCCCUGGGGUUUGAAAAUCCUUCUAGUACAUGUUUAGGAAAAUUACAUGGAACUGCUUUCCUUGCUGGGAACUCCAUUUAUAUUCAUACAGCAAGUCUAAGGGGAAAUUUAGAGAAAAGUUCUUCUCAGAAACAGCGCACUAGGAAAGUGAUUAUUCUGUUGGUAAAAGGAGAGUCAGUGAGAGAAUGGAUGCAGUGGGAUUUCUGCUGCCUUGUCAAACCAGAAUGUCUUCUGCAAACAAAGGACAUCCUUCAAUCAACUGGCUUUACCAAAGAACUUGGAACACUUCACUUUUUUUUUUUUUUAUUAGUUGUCAUUCUUCGACAUGAUGAAUACUUACAGCAGUAUGUUAAAAAAGAUACAGUUAAGUCUCUUGGCAUCAUCACUGCAUAGCAGUCACAGCAUUUUCACACAAUCUAGUGCUUCCUUUCAGAAUGAUGCAUAUGGCAUAUAUACGCACAUAUGGGGGCUGAUUCUUGGUCCCAGUGAAGUUGGGGGGACCAGUGUUUGGCCCAUAGAGUUGUAUAAGAUAUGUGACUAUGUAUAUAUAAAAUGCUUUACAAUAAACAUGACAUAUACAAUCUUGAAUUCAAAGAUAAGCAGAAUAUAUUUUACAUCCAAGUCAAGCUUAUGCUUUGCACUUAAAAGUUUAUGUACCUAAAAUAUUGGAUGGAUUAUAGAAACAAAGAGCAACAGUUUGCACCAAUCAAAGUAAUUUGAAUACAUAUUCAUGGCAUGAA